rnacentral:tRNA from 1 species
GUGGGAGUGGUGCAAAUGGAGAACACAUCCGGAUAGCGUCUGGCCGCAGCGUAGCUGUUUGCAGGUUCGAGUCCUGCCUCCCGUCCCA